AUUGAACGCUGGCGGCAUGCCUUACACAUGCAAGUCGAACGGCAGCGCGGGGCAACCUGGCGGCGAGUGGCGAACGGGUGAGUAAUAUAUCGGAACAUACCCUAGAGUGGGGGAUAACGUAGCGAAAGUUACGCUAAUACCGCAUACGCACUAAGGUGGAAAGUGGGGGAUCUUCGGACCUCAUGCUCAUGGAGUGGCCGAUAUCUGAUUAGCUAGUUGGUGGGGUAAAGGCUCACCAAGGCGACGAUCAGUAGCUGGUUUGAGAGGACGACCAGCCACACUGGAACUGAGACACGGUCCAGACUCCUACGGGAGGCAGCAGUGGGGAAUUUUGGACAAUGGGCGAAAGCCUGAUCCAGCCAUUCCGCGUCGAGUGAAGAA
rnacentral:rRNA from 1 species